rnacentral:misc_RNA from 1 species
GAUGAAGAACGCAGCGAAAUGCGAUAAGUAAUGUGAAUUGCAGAAUUCAGUGAAUCAUCGAAUCUUUGAACGCACCUUGAGCUCCUUGGUAUUCCGAGGAGCAUGCCUGUUUGAGUGUCAUGAAAUUCUCAACCUUUUCAGCUUUCUUUGUUGAUCAGGCUUGGAUGUGGGAGUAUGCGGGCUUCUCAGAAGUCGGCUCUCCUGAAAUGCAUUAGCGGGACCUUUGUUGCCUGGCUUUGGUGUGAUAAUUAUCUACGCCAUUGUAGUCAAGCAGCUUAAAAUGAGGUUUCAGCUUCUAACCGUCUCCCCUGAGACAACUUUUUGACAAUUUGACCUCAAAUCAGGUAGGACUACCCGCUGAACUUAAGCAUAUCAAUAAGCGGAGGA